rnacentral:rRNA from 1 species
AUACGGAGGAUCCGAGCGUUAUCCGGAUUUAUUGGGUUUAAAGGGUGCGCAGGCGGCCAUUUAAGUCAGCGGUUAAAUCGUGGGGCUCAACCCCAUUCUGCCGUUGAUACUGGGUGGCUUGAUUGCGGUCGAGGUUGGCGGAAUUCGUUGUGUAGCGGUGAAAUGCAUAGAUAUGACGAAGAACACCGAUUGCGUAGGCAGCUGACCAGACCGCAAAUGACGCUCAUGCACGAAAGUGCGGGGAUCGAACAGGAUUAGAUACCCUGGUAGUGCGCACAGUAAGCGAUGAAUACUUGUUUUCGGCGAUAUAAUGUCGGAGGCAAAGCGAAAGCGAUAAGUAUUCCACCUGGGGAGUACGCCGGCAACGGUGAAACUCAAAUGAAUUGACGGGG